UUGACGCUGGCGGCAGGCCUACACAUGCAAGUCGAACGGUAACAGGAAGCAGCUUGCUGCUUCGCUGACGAGUGGCGGACGGGUGAGUAAUGUCUGGGAAACUGCCUGAUGGAGGGGGAUAACUACUGGAAACGGUAGCUAAUACCGCAUAACGUCGCAAGACCAAAGAGGGGGACCUUCGGGCCUCUUGCCAUCGGAUGUGCCCAGAUGGGAUUAGCUUGUUGGUGGGGUAACGGCUCACCNAGGCGACGAUCCCUAGCUGGUCUGAGAGGAUGACCAGCCACACUGGAACUGAGACACGGUCCAGACUCCUACGGGAGGCAGCAGUGGGGAAUAUUGCACAAUGGGCGCAAGCCUGAUGCAGCCAUGCCGCGUGUAUGAAGAAGGCCUUCGGGUUGUAAAGUACUUUCAGCGGGGAGGAAGGGAGUAAAGUUAAUACCUUUGCUCAUUGACGUUACCCGCAGAAGAAGCACCGGCUAACUCCGUGCCAGCAGCCGCGGUAAUACGGAGGGUGCAAGCGUUAAUCGGAAUUACUGGGCGUAAAGCGCACGCAGGCGGUUUGUUAAGUCAGAUGUGAAAUCCCCGGGCUCAACCUGGGAACUGCAUCUGAUACUGGCAAGCUUGAGUCUCGUAAAGGGGGGUAGAAUUCCAGGUGUANCGGUGAAAAUGCGUAAANAUCUGGAGGAAUACCGGUGGCGAANGCGGCCCCCUGGACNAAAACUGACCCUCAGGUGCNAAANNCNUGGGGGAGCAAACAGGAAUUAAAUANCCUGGGUAG
rnacentral:rRNA from 1 species